ACCUUGCCUAAAAGCUUUUGAUAAGACUGUCUCCUUUAGUGAAAAAUGUGAAAUGGGAAUUCCAUUGAGAACAAACAAGACCUGAUUUGGGCAGAGUGCUGUGCUUGGAUUCCACUUUUGUGACUUACAAUCUUCCUUGUGCUAAUCAAGUAGAAAAAAUGAUGAUGGAGCAAUAAUUUCAAAAUGGACAUACACGUUUAUUAGCUUCCAAAAGUGAUGUGAGUGCCAAAACACAUGCUUAAAUUUUGAAUCCAUCUUGGCUUUCUACUGAUAGAACAAAACAAAACCUGUGGCGGAUCCAGUUGCUUGUGAUAGGUAAAAGGCUGAUCAAACAGUCAAAAUAAUUAUUACUCUCCUUAAUGAUUCGCACUUAUCUCAAAAAAGAAGAUUUAAUGCAUGGGGAUUACUUUGCCCUAAGACUGGAUGCGAUGCUUUGAGUAAUGGAGAAAAAAGAUUAAGAUCCUGGUAAGUGGGGAAUUAAAAGGUGAGGCUUAUCUUAUUAUGAUGGUAGUGGAAGGCACAUUUAACACCACAAAUGGGCACAACCAUCAAACAGGAUUAUAAGAUUAGGAUAUAGGAGUACGGUGUAAUGAAUAUUCGGAUACAUGCGGAGCCAAAAUUAUGAUGUACAGUAACUUCUCUUAAUUUUUGUGAUUGUUCAUUGUGAUUUUAAUUUCACGAUAAUUUUUCAA